rnacentral:rRNA from 1 species
AGAGUUUGAUCCUGGCUCAGGAUGAACGCUGGCGGCGUGCCUAAUACAUGCAAGUCGAACGCGCAGCGAGAGGUGCUUGCACCUUUCAAGCGAGUGGCGAACGGGUGAGUAACACGUGGAUAACCUGCCUCAAGGCUGGGGAUAACAUUUGGAAACAGAUGCUAAUACCGAAUAAAACUUAGUAUCGCAUGAUAUAAAGUUAAAAGGCGCUACGGCGUCACCUAGAGAUGGAUCCGCGGUGCAUUAGUUAGUUGGUGGGGUAAAGGCUUACCAAGACAAUGAUGCAUAGCCGAGCUGAGAGACUGAUCGGCCACAUUGGGACUGAGACACGGCCCAAACUCCUACGGGAGGCUGCAGUAGGGAAUCUUCCACAAUGGGCGCAAGCCUGAUGGAGCAACGCCGCGUGUGUGAUGAAGGCUUUCGGGUCGUAAAGCACUGUUGUAUGGGAAGAAAUGCUAAAAUAGGGAAUGAUUUUAGUUUGACGGUACCAUACCAGAAAGGGACGGCUAAAUACGUGCCAGCAGCCGCGGUAAUACGUAUGUCCCGAGCGUUAUCCGGAUUUAUUGGGCGUAAAGCGAGCGCAGACGGUUGAUUAAGUCUGAUGUGAAAGCCCGGAG